GCAAGUCGAGCGGUAGAGAGAAGCUUGCUUCUCUUGAGAGCGGCGGACGGGUGAGUAAUGCCUAGGAAUCUGCCUGGUAGUGGGGGAUAACGUUCGGAAACGGACGCUAAUACCGCAUACGUCCUACGGGAGAAAGCAGGGGACCUUCGGGCCUUGCGCUAUCAGAUGAGCCUAGGUCGGAUUAGCUAGUUGGUGGGGUAAUGGCUCACCAAGGCGACGAUCCGUAACUGGUCUGAGAGGAUGAUCAGUCACACUGGAACUGAGACACGGUCCAGACUCCUACGGGAGGCAGCAGUGGGGAAUAUUGGACAAUGGGCGAAAGCCUGAUCCAGCCAUGCCGCGUGUGUGAAGAAGGUCUUCGGAUUGUAAAGCACUUUAAGUUGGGAGGAAGGGUUGUAGAUUAAUACUCUGCAAUUUUGACGUUACCGACAGAAUAAGCACCGGCUAACUCUGUGCCAGCAGCCGCGGUAAUACAGAGGGUGCAAGCGUUAAUCGGAAUUACUGGGCGUAAAGCGCGCGUAGGUGGUUUGUUAAGUUGGAUGUGAAAUCCCCGGGCUCAACCUGGGAACUGCAUUCAAAACUGACUGACUAGAGUAUGGUAGAGGGUGGUGGAAUUUCCUGUGUAGCGGUGAAAUGCGUAGAUAUAGGAAGGAACACCAGUGGCGAAGGCGACCACCUGGACUAAUACUGACACUGAGGUGCGAAAGCGUGGGGAGCAAACAGGAUUAGAUACCCUGGUAGUCCACGCCGUAAACGAUGUCAACUAGCCGUUGGAAGCCUUGAGCUUUUAGUGGCGCAGCUAACGCAUUAAGUUGACCGCCUGGGGAGUACGGCCGCAAGGUUAAAACUCAAAUGAAUUGACGGGGGCCCGCACAAGCGGUGGAGCAUGUGGUUUAAUUCG
rnacentral:rRNA from 1 species